rnacentral:rRNA from 1 species
UACGAAGGGGGCUAGCGUUGUUCGGAAUUACUGGGCGUAAAGCGCACGUAGGCGGAUAUUUAAGUCAGGGGUGAAAUCCCGCAGCUCAACUGCGGAACUGCCUUUGAUGCUGGGUAUCUUGAGUAUGGAAGAGGUUAGUGGAAUUGCGAGUGUAGAGGUGAAAUUCGUAGAUAUUCGCAGGAACACCAGUGGCGAAGGCGGCUAACUGGUCCAUAACUGACGCUGAGGUGCGAAAGCGUGGGGAGCAAACAGG